rnacentral:rRNA from 1 species
GACGAACGCUGGCGGCGUGCCUAAUACAUGCAAGUAGAACGCUGAAGGAGGAGCUUGCUCUUCUGGAUGAGUUGCGAACGGGUGAGUAACGCGUAGGUAACCUGCCUGGUAGCGGGGGAUAACUAUUGGAGACGAUAGCUAAUACCGCAUAACAGUAGAUGUUGCAUGACAUUUGCUUAAAAGGUGCAAUUGCAUCACUACCAGAUGGACCUGCGUUGUAUUAGCUAGUUGGUGGGGUAACGGCUCACCAAGGCGACGAUACAUAGCCGACCUGAGAGGGUGAUCGGCCACACUGGGACUGAGACACGGCCCAGACUCCUACGGGAGGCAGCAGUAGGGAAUCUUCGGCAAUGGACGGAAGUCUGACCGAGCAACGCCGCGUGAGUGAAGAAGGUUUUCGGAUCGUAAAGCUCUGUUGUAAGAGAAGAACGAGUGUGAGAGUGGAAAGUUCACACUGUGACGGUAUCUUACCAGAAAGGGGCGGCUAACUACGUG